CAGGCCUAACACAUGCAAGUCGAGGGGCAUCAGGAAGAAAGCUUGCUUUCUUUGCCGGCGACCGGCGCACGGGUGAGCAACACGUAUCCAACCUGCCCUUUACUCGGGGAUAGCCUUUCGAAAGAAAGAUUAAUACCCGAUAGUAUAAUGAUUCCGCAUGGUUUCAUUAUUAAAGGAUUCCGGUAAAGGAUGGGGAUGCGUUCCAUUAGGUUGUUGGUGAGGUAACGGCUCACCAAGCCUUCGAUGGAUAGGGGUUCUGAGAGGAAGGUCCCCCCCAUUGGAACUGAGACACGGUCCAAACUCCUACGGGAGGCAGCAGUGAGGAAUAUUGGUCAAUGGGCGCUAGCCUGAACCAGCCAAGUAGCGUGAAGGAUGAAGGCUCUAUGGGUCGUAAACUUCUUUUAUAUAAGAAUAAAGUGCAGUAUGUAUACUGUUUUGUAUGUAUUAUAUGAAUAAGGAUCGGCUAACUCCGUGCCAGCAGCCGCGGUAAUACGGAGGAUCCGAGCGUUAUCCGGAUUUAUUGGGUUUAAAGGGAGCGUAGGUGGACUGGUAAGUCAGUUGUGAAAGUUUGCGGCUCAACCGUAAAAUUGCAGUUGAUACUGUCAGUCUUGAGUACAGUAGAGGUGGGCGGAAUUCGUGGUGUAGCGGUGAAAUGCUUAGAUAUCACGAAGAACUCCGAUUGCGAAGGCAGCUCACUGGACUGCAACUGACACUGAUGCUCGAAAGUGUGGGUAUCAAACAGGAUUAGAUACCCUGGUAGUCCACACAGUAAACGAUGAAUACUCGCUGUUUGCGAUAUACAGUAAGCGGCCAAGCGAAAGCAUUAAGUAUUCCACCUGGGGAGUACGCCGGCAACGGUGAAACUCAAAGGAAUUGACGGGGGCCCGCACAAGCGGAGGAACAUGUGGUUUAAUUCGAUGAUACGCGAGGAACCUUACCCGGGCUUAAAUUGCAGUGGAAUGAUGUGGAAACAUGUCAGUGAGCAAUCACCGCUGUGAAGGUGCUGCAUGGUUGUCGUCAGCUCGUGCCGUGAGGUGUCGGCUUAAGUGCCAUAACGAGCGCAACCCUUAUCUUCAGUUACUAACAGGUCAUGCUGAGGACUCUGGAGAGACUGCCGUCGUAAGAUGUGAGGAAGGUGGGGAUGACGUCAAAUCAGCACGGCCCUUACGUCCGGGGCUACACACGUGUUACAAUGGGGGGUACAGAAGGCAGCUAGCGGGUGACCGUAUGCUAAUCCCAAAAUCCUCUCUCAGUUCGGAUCGAAGUCUGCAACCCGACUUCGUGAAGCUGGAUUCGCUAGUAAUCGCGCAUCAGCCACGGCGCGGUGAAUACGUUCCCGGGCCUUGUACACACCGCCCGUCAAGCCAUGGGAGCCGGGGGUACCUGAAGUACGUAACCGCAAGGAUCGUCCUAGGGUAAAACUGGUGACUGGGGCUAAG
rnacentral:rRNA from 1 species